rnacentral:rRNA from 1 species
UUUAAAGUUAUUUAGAUUUGGUAAAAGUUUAAGUUCAGAACAAGCUUGUGCCAGCAUUCGCGGUUAUACAAGUUGAGCAGGUAAAAGUUUUUAGUUGGUAGUUAAUUUUAAUUACAAAAUUAUAAGUUAAAUUUAUAGGUGAAAUUUUAAAUUUUUAUUAAAUUUUAUUUGUUUAAAUGAAGCUAUGAAAUUUUUUUAAUUAAACUAGGAUUAGAUACCCUACUAUGAAGAAUGUGAAUAUAAACUAGGGUAGUAAUAGAUAUGAUCUUGAAACCUAAAAAAUUUGGCGGUGCUUUAGUCUAUUUAGAGGAACCUGUUCCGUAAUCGAUAGUCCACGAUAAAUUUUACUUGAUCUUGUCUAGCUUAUAUACCGUUGUUAUCAGAAUAUUUCAGAAGAAUUUAAUGUUCUAAUAUUUAUAUAAAAAUUUAUUUCAGGUCAAGGUGUAGCUUAUGAUUAAGUGGAAAUGGGUUACAAUAAAGUUAUUUACACGGAUAUGAGGUUGAAAUAUCUUAUUGAAGGUGGAUUUAAUAGUAAAUAAAAAUAUAUUUUUUUGUUGAUUAUAGCUCUAAAGCAUGCACACAUCGCCCGUCGCUCUUUUUAAUUAAAGAUAAGUCGUAACAUAGUAGGUGUACUGGAAAGUGUAUCUAGAAUGCA